rnacentral:rRNA from 1 species
AUGCAGCUGCUCCUGCGCUGUGGCUCUCUCCUCCGUCUCUACGAGUGUAGCGGUGGGCUUCCAAGAACAAAUUACAGUUCCAGAAAAUUAGUGCUUCCAAUACUAAACAUGAUGAGUGAGAGGACGCGGAUUACCUAUUCACGUAGAGCUGUCUCUAGGAACAGUGAGAUCAAGAAAGAUGAACAAACAGUCAUAGAAAAGGAAGAUGACACUGAAAGCACAUUGGAGAUAGAGCGAAUCAGGGGUGACCCUAGUAUGCUCCAAUCCAUGACAGUGAAAGAACUCAAGGAACUCACAAGGAGGAUGGGAGUUGCUGCGAGAGGUAACAAGAAAGAUUUGGUAUCAGCUCUGAUGGAAUCUCUGGGUGAGGAAGUAAUUGGUAAAGAGGGCGCAUCAACCAUUGAGCAGAUUGGCCCAUCAGAAGUACCUUCAAAAAGAAAAAGUGCCUCUUCAGUAGUGGUUGAACAAAAGCUAGAAACUUCUGAAGUUAUUUCCGCAACUCCUAGCAAGAGAAGUAGAACCAAGCAGAAAUCAAUUAAGGGCACCACUCCGGAGGAGAACCCUGUGACUACUGUCAAGAUAAAUAAAACAUCGCACAAGAAGGAAACAGUUGUUGCCAAUGGUGCUAUUGCAAAGGCGGGGUUGGGUCUUAAUGUGGAUGGUGCAGAGCCUUGGACUGUACUCGUACACAAGAAGCCACAGGCUGAGUGGAUUCCAUACAAUCCUAAGGUCAUGAGGCCUCCACCCCUUAGCAAGGAUACAAGGGCGCUAAAGAUUCUAUCAUGGAAUGUCAAUGGACUGAAAGCUCUAGUAAAAAAUAGGGGCUUCUCCGUUCAUGAGUUAGCACAGAGGGAGGAUUUUGAUGUGCUAUGCCUGCAAGAAACGAAAAUUCAGGAGAAAGAUGUUGACGUCAUCAAGGAAAGUCUACUUGAAGGGUAUACCAAUAGUUUCUGGACAUGUAGUGUGUCAAAGCUUGGCUAUUCAGGGACUGCCAUAAUUUCACGGGUGAAACCACUUUCUAUCAAGUAUGGGCUUGGUGUACCAGACCAUGAUACAGAAGGGAGGAUUGUGACGGUGGAAUUUGAUGAUUUUUACUUGCUAACCGCUUAUGUGCCAAAUUCCGGUGAUGGUCUCAAAAGAUUGACUUACAGAGUCACAGAGUGGGAUCCAUGCCUUGGUAACUACAUGAAAGAAUUGGAAAAAUCGAAACCUGUCAUACUAACUGGUGAUCUUAACUGUGCGCAUCAGGAGAUUGAUAUACAUGAUCCUGCUGGAAAUAGUAGAAGUGCCGGCUUCACAAAAGAAGAAAGGAAAUCGUUCGAGACUAAUUUUCUGUCCAAAGGGUUCGUGGAUACGUUUCGGAAACAGCACCCUGAUGUUGUUGGAUAUAGCUACUGGGGCUAUAGGCAUAAUUGCCGGAAGACUAAUAGAGGUUGGCGCCUGGAUUACUUCCUCGUGUCGGAGUCCAUCGCAGAAAGAGUCCACGAUUCAUACAUCCUCCCAGACGUUUCUGCCAGUGACCACAGCCCACUCGGCCUCAUACUGAAGCUCUAG